rnacentral:rRNA from 1 species
UACGUAGGGUGCAAGCGUUGUCCGGAAUUAUUGGGCGUAAAGAGCUCGUAGGCGGUCUGUCGCGUCUGCUGUGAAAACUCGGGGCUUAACCCCGGGCCUGCAGUGGGUACGGGCAGACUAGAGUGCGGUAGGGGAGACUGGAAUUCCUGGUGUAGCGGUGAAAUGCGCAGAUAUCAGGAGGAACACCGAUGGCGAAGGCAGCUCGCUGGGACGGUACUGACGCUGAGGCGCGAAAGCGUGGGGAGCAAACAGG